GUUUUGGGCUGCUAGGACUUGUUUUCUUCUUUCCCUGCGCCGAUGCCUUCAUCUUCUUCCUCUGAAAUGUUUUUCCUUGCCGCAGCUGUCUUCUUCUUCCUCCCUUGUGACGCCGUUUCUUCCACGAUUUCUUGUGGUUUGGCCGAAACUCCUUGUGCACCUCCUUCCUCUUCUUCUUUUCUUAUGUAUUCCUUGUUAUUGUGGUGUAAAAACCCUUGCUUUUUCCCUUUGUUUUUCUCCUAUAUCGCGCCAUAUUUUGGAUCCGAAAUCAUGCUCUAUUUUGUUCCAAACGUGAAGCUUGAAGCUCGGUUUUUCCUCACUUUUUCUCUAGUAUUUUCAUGCUCUAGCUUGUUGGUUAAACCUUGAGAUUUUCGGGUGUUUUUGGACUCAAACUGUGCCCUAUUUUUUGGUCUAAUUUGUGGGUUGCGUUUUUGGGUUCUUGGUGAUUUGUGGUUCUUGCCGUGAGCUUUAUUUUGAGUUUUCUUGGUAUUUUUGGUACUACGUGGUCUACAUCGUCAGCCAUAUACUUUCAGAUUUUAUUGCCAUUAAAGCAUUGUAAAUAACUUUUCAAAUACAUUUUUGAAAUUUAAAUAUAUUUUACACUAACAAUUUUUUAUGAUUUGUGGGUUUUGCCAGAUGUUGAAUCCAAGGAGUUUGGAGGUAGGUUGGAUUGGAGGAUGAAGUUAUAUGUGAGGUUGGAUUGUGCUUGGUAUUUUUAUGUCUUGCUUGGGUUCAUGUUAUACAUUGCAUGUUUAUAAGCAUGAAUGAAAUUGAGUUUUCUUGUGUGAAAAGAUUUUUGGCCGACCCUAAAUCGAAAUGUGGCAUUAUCUCAGUGGAGCUUCUUUGGUCACUCGGAAGCAAAAUAUACUGAGUGAUGUCUUUUGGGUUAUUGCUGGGCGACAACGAAAUCGGACGAAAUGGUAACGCUCUCAUGCUAACUUUGUGGUCCCUCUUCUGGCAGGGGAUAGAGGAUGCUUACGAAUGCGCUAGGCGCGGAACUGGGCAUCGCUUGUUAUAAAAUUACACGUACAGUCAUUACCCGUGGUGUGGCGAAGGGAGACAAGGUGUGUGGAUGAUCCCUAUGGGAUAUCACGAUUUUGGUUGCAUGUAAAUCUUGAGGAUGCGGCUGCGGCUGCGGCGAAGAAGUGAUCGGGGAUCACUUUCUCGUGGGAUGGAAUUUAUGUUCGUCUUUGGUUAUUAUAUUUUAGUUUAUUUAUGUUUUUAUUAGAUAAUUGUAUUACUUUUAAAAUGCUUAUAUUUAUAUAAAUUUGUAUUUAACAAUUCUAGUGCUUAGUUGAUCGUGUUACAUGCGCACAUAUUUAGUACUUGUUGUUAGAGUGCGUGAUCUAUACUGUCAUUAUCCCGACAUUUCGAUUUUUAUAUUUUUGUACGUGGAUGUUGAUAGCAUCACAUCAAAAUAGCUAUAUUUUAACUUAAAAUACCAAUUGCAAGAUCCUCUUGCAUUGGCUUAGCCUAAACAUAUAUAAGCUAUACUACUUUUAGCUAUAAUGUUCCAACAAAUCUAUUGGACAAUGUAGUUCAACCAAAACAUUGAAGUGUUUUUUUCACGCUCCCUUUGCCUUCAUUAGGUACGUUACUCGUUGGCUUUGCUGAUGAUCUCUACCUCGCUGCAACUAUCUCAUAAUCUCUUCUCUAUCUCUAACAUUGAACAUUUCAAUUAGGAUACUGCAACAUCUACCAAGAGAUGUAGUCCAAAUACUCAUCGAAGAAGGAGGGACGAGAGAGCUCUAGACUCUAGUGAUGUUGUGCUGGCGCUCAUGGACUUUCCCAACGUUCAUUUUUUUCCAAGAACAUAGUCAAGGCUAUGAGAUAGCGACCAUGCAUGUCGUGGAUCAUCUGUGCACAUCAUCACGUUCUUCAUUAUGAUUUCCCACACAGUGGUGCGGGAAUGGAAGCUUCGAAUAAUGAAAAUGGAGAAGAAUAUAUAGGCCGUAUUUGAAUAUUGAGUUA